UACGAAGGGGGCUAGCGUUGUUCGGAAUUACUGGGCGUAAAGCGUGCGCAGGCGGCUGCUCAAGUCAGGGGGUGAAAGCCCAGAGCUCAACUCUGGAAUUGCCUUUGAGACUGAGUGGCUUGAGUACGGGAGAGGUGAGUGGAAUUCCCAGUGUAGAGGUGAAAUUCGUAGAUAUUGGGAAGAACACCGGUGGCGAAGGCGGCUCACUGGCUCGUAACUGACGCUCAUGCACGACAGCGUGGGGAUCAAACAGG
rnacentral:rRNA from 1 species